rnacentral:rRNA from 1 species
CUGGCGGCGUGCCUAAUACAUGCAAGUCGAGCGAAUGAUUAGAGAAGCUUGCUUCUCUCUGAUUUAGCGGCGGACGGGUGAGUAACACGUGGGUAACCUACCCUAUAGACUGGGAUAACUUCGGGAAACCGGAGCUAAUACCGGAUAAUACUUCGAAACACAUGUUUUGAAGUUGAAAGAUGGUUUCGGCUAUCACUAUAGGAUGGACCCGCGGCGCAUUAGCUAGUUGGUGAGGUAACGGCUCACCAAGGCAACGAUGCGUAGCCGACCUGAGAGGGUGAUCGGCCACACUGGGACUGAGACACGGCCCAGACUCCUACGGGAGGCAGCAGUAGGGAAUCUUCCACAAUGGACGAAAGUCUGAUGGAGCAACGCCGCGUGAGUGAAGAAGGAUUUCGGUUCGUAAAACUCUGUUGCAAGGGAAGAACAAGUAGCGUAGUAACUGGCGCUACCUUGACGGUACCUUGUUAGAAAGCCACGGCUAACUACGUGCCAGCAGCCGC